ACGACUCGUGUUUGUGUUUGGUACUUUGGUACCCAACUUAGGCCUUCCUCUCCCUAAAAGAAAAAGAAGUUUUUAUUUUUUUUCUGAAUCAGAUGCCACGUCAGUAAACUGGGCAAAAAUACUGCCAUGGAACCACAUUUGAACGAUUUAAGUGAGUUUAGGGGUACAUAUUUCUGAUUUUGUGGUUAAGAAAUAUCAAAAAAUCUCGGUGUUAAGUUGAGGGACCUCUGGUGAACUUAUUCCAAAAGAAAAAGAAAAGAAAUCUCUGAUUUUGUUUGGACUACUUAUAGGUCCGUGCGUUGCAACGGUUCUUUUAUUUAGGAGGAUUUGGGUCCAGUGGGCUAUUGCCUUUUUUUUAAAAAAAAAUCGGUUUUCAAGGUAGGUUUUUAUGUGGAGGUAGGGGAAGACGACUCUUUUAAUUAGUAGAGAUACGAUGGUGAUGUACUGAUGUAUAGUUGUACACACAAAGGGAGGUGGCUCCUUAGUUUUUUUUUUCUCAUCCAUCUUUCAUUAUCUUUGUCUUUUGACGGUGGUCAUGGUGGAUCAUCUAAUGUUGGUCCCCUAGUCAUCUUGUUUUGACAGUUUGAUACAUGGGAUAUGUUUGGCCAUGAGUUCCGUGCCCAUGUCAUCGUUGUUUGGGUGGAGUUGAUCAUGACGAUGUUAUUUGAAAUAAUGAUUCUUUUUUGCGGGGAGAAAUAAUGGUCCUUGAGGUUAUAGCUCUCUCUUUACCUUUUUGGUGGUCUCUCAUACACUGGUGAAUGGCUUGUAAAGGGUGUGGUUGUGUUGAUGGACGGUGGCGUAGUUACCUUGUAUUAUUGUGUUUUGAAAUUUUGUAGUUUGCGUAUAGAGUAAACAGUAUUCAUAGUACAUAAACUUGUGUGAUGGGUACAAAUAGGUACACCAACUUAUAAAUUGCCCGUUUGGGUAUAAUAACUUGGCUAAUCCGUGUGAACCCAAACCAAAAUAAUCCAUGUAAGCAAAUUUGAUCUAACGCGGUACACCUUGGUUUUAUUUUUUCAAACAAAUCGAUCUGAGACUAUAUUGACAGCAUUUGGAUGAUAAUUUUGUUUCCAUUUAAAACAACGUAAAAUUUUAAAAACUAUAAUUUAACAUACAAAUUUGAAAUCUAGCAUGGACAUGAUCUAGAUCUGGAGCUGUUUUCAAAGAAGUUUUGGUACUCAUUAUUACUGUGGCUGAGGGAUCUCUUUCUCCCGUGAAUCGAUUCAAAUUUGAAGAUUCUUUUUUUUUUGUUUUGAGAAACCGAGUUAUAUUUGAUAUUACUAAAUCAAUGAAUAUUAUUAGUAGAUGAAGUAUUAACUUUUCAUUUCAUAUUAUUUUGCGGAAUUAUUUUUCCUUCUAUCUUUCAUCGAUCUCAGAACGAAAGUUGCGCGCAGUUCGCACUUAAAACUGACCUCUGCGAUCUCGAAUACGUUUACGACGAGAUUCUCCAGUCCAGGGAGCGGUACGUACGUCGUCGUGUUGGAAUGGAACGAUAAUUUGCCUCGUCCAUGGCUCCCUGCAGCAUAUGCACGCGAGCUAGCACUGAGGCAUGCACCACAUACACCGUACCAAUACACGAGAGUUUAUCUGCAGUUAUUAUAUUUACUUUACUUAGUCCCUCGAUUUAUUUCCCUCUAGAGGAUACACGAUCGAUCGAUCGAGAGAUCGCAUACACAUAGUACUAGGUGGUGGCGGAGUAGUGGUAUUACAACACCUUAUUUGCAGGUUGUGUUCAGAGAGAGUAGGCUGCGCGUCGGCUGUUUAUUUAUCCUUAGUAAUUGACCGGCGCAGACGGCGGAUCGACUAGCUAGUUGUUGAGGUUGUUGUUCUCCAUGACGCCAACGCCGGCCUUUCUGCCCCCGCCGACACCGUUAACGUUGCUGUUGUAGCACGGCCCGGACUGGCACCCCAUGCCACAGUAAUCGCCGCCCAGGCCACAGUAACCAUACUGGCUGCAGCACAAGUUCGCCGCGCAGCCGCAGUUCUGCGCGGCCGCCGGGCCGGCGGAGGAGAGGAGGAGCGCGCGCGAGGCCCAACACCAGAGCCAACAUAGUCGCCACCUUGGCCGCCAUCAGUUCGAUCGAUCGGUGCUUGGCUGGGCUAGCUAGCUAGCAAUAGCUACGUACGUCCUGCUGUUUUGUGUGUUGUGUUUAAUUUGCUCGCUUGCUAGCUGC
rnacentral:lncRNA from 1 species